GAUUUUGAAUGUGAGAAUCAACUAACCUUCCUUCACUAAUUUGCUAGUCGCAUGAUAGCUUGAUCCAUAACUGACACGUGAUCAUUUAACGCAAUCAGUCAUACUAAACUGGCAAAAACUGACACCAAAUAUUUGUAAGCAAUUAUCGUAUCGGGGCUUUGUGAUAAGUGGCGAGUCGAUUGAUUUGUCAAGGCAAAUAUGGUUCAGGGAAAUGGAAUGGUAAACCGGUCAGAAAAAUCAAAUCAAGUUUUGAUUAUUUACAAUAAGCAAAAUCGACGUUGGACUAAUUGUAACAGUACUGGUACCUUCUUGAAAAUAUAAACCAAUUUUAAUUGAGCUUGAAUCCUUAAGUCAUUUCAAUUAUUAACUAUUGACUAACUAGUAAUCUCCUAGAGGCAGUAUACAUCAACUAUGGAAAUAUUUAUGUCUUCUACAACCCUAAGAAGUCCCUGUUGAAGUACAGUGAUAGGUUGUUGUGCAACUACUUAUAAUGCCACAUCUAUCGCGUCGACAUCGAAGACAAGCGGCAAUUGGAGCAUUUUAACCAAAAUCAGUCCAAGACCUUUCCUUGUUACUUUCGACGUCACCUUUGCAGCUGCCGUCACAGUUGUCGCUACUUCGGCGCAAUCAGCGACUGUCAAUCUUUGUUGCAAUCUUCAGUUUGCCAUCUUAGCGCUGACUUCGCGACAACGUCUUAAGCAUAAAGGUUGCUGAGGCUGCAUUUUACAAUUUAAACGUGAUACAUAACAGGGGGUUGCUGGUUACGCAGGGCACGGCAAAGCUGGCGUUGCUGUUGACGUUUGCAGGUGUCGAUGGCGUCGCCGUCGCCAUUGUGUUUGUUUUAGCUUUUGCCAUUUAAGUUAUGCAUGAGUUGCACAGAUGAAUGCAAAAUGGCUUAAAUGUAGCAUUCUGGCACUUAUAACCAAUUUGAGAGAUCACAGCUUAGACAGGCAAGCACAUCAAGCAAAAAGUGCAGCUAAAUACACUGGCGCACAGUGACAACAUGACACAAUGCGGCAACACUUCUGGUAGUCCCGCUUCGCAAUCACAUACCAAAUUAGACAUACACAAUUUCUCGGAGGACUACAAUAAUGGGUCGUCUGAAGUCGUUGGCGAGAAUGUUGGCGAGACGGCACAAAACGCUGCAACAAUAAUUUUAACGCCGACAUCAUUAAAUUUAACAAACACACCGCCAAAUGCGCCCGGUGGGGGUGGCGUUGGCGGCAGCAACAUCAACAACAGGGCAAACGCAGACGUUGGCAACAAUGACAGGGGUUAUCCGGCGCACAGCGAACAAUACAAAGGACCUAAAUGGUGGCGUCGCUUAUUAGUUCACUGGUCUCUUGUGUCGGAGCAUAUUGCCCUGCUUAUGAUUUUUCUAGCGCUUUGGACCUUGGCCUUGGCAUUGUUACCACAGUAUGCUACACCUGAAACAGUGAUAAUGCGUAUUAUACUACUCUUUGUUGGUGCUCAAAUAUCUGGCAUAUUAGUUACCUUUAUACAUUUGCCAGACAUGCUGGGCAUGCUCUUCUUCGGUGUCCUUUACACCAAUAUUGGCUUGGCCAAUUUCGAAGGUUAUGAGCGCUUUGAACUGUUUUUAAGAGAACUGGCAUUGACCAAUAUCAUGCUGCUAGCUGGUCUCGGUCUUGAUGGCAGUGCAUUUAGGCGGUUGUGGCUUAUGAUUCUCCGACUGACACUCGUUCCGACAAUAGUGGAGGUUGCCGUUAUAGCUGUGCUGGCCUAUUUUACAUUGUCCAUGCCCUGGAUGUGGGGGAUAGCUCUGGGCCUGGUCAUCACAGCAGUCUCACCCAAUGUUGUCGUCACAGUCAUGCUUAAGUUAAAGGAGGAUCGCCUGGGUCUGAACAGUGGCAUACACACCCUAAUAUACGCUAUGACCACGUGCAAUGACGUCGUAGCUAUCUUCAUGUUUGGCGUCGUAAUCAGCAUUAUAUUCUCCACAAGCUCACUGACACAAAAAGUAUUGCAAGGACCCAUUGGUAUUGGUAUUGGACUUGUUUUCGGCUAUCUUUACGGCAUGAUGCUUCACUAUUUGCCGUCGCGGAAUGCGGUUUAUGCAAAUGGACUGCGCUUUGCUUUGACAAUCUUGGGUGGCUCAAUAGCUGUAAUGGGCAGCCGAAUUAUCGGCUAUACUUCGGCCGGUGCCUUAGGUUGCGUAAUGUUGGCCUUUAUAGCUGGCAUUGGUUGGAAAAGGGAGGAGCUCAAACUGACCCCAUAUCAAAUGCAAGCACAUCAAAUAGCAAGUGUUCCUAAGCGUCUGGAUCUGCUGUGGAAAUUUCUUAAACCCGUCUCAUUUGCACUAAUUGGCAAGGAAAUCAAUUUUGCCGUGCUUGAAGGUCGCGUAAUUGGCUAUGGAGCGCUGCUGGUACUGUUUGGAAGUUUGCUCCGCUUAGCUUUUGCAUAUUUAUCUACAUAUGGCGGAAAUCUGUCAAGAAAGGAGCGUGCUUACAUUACAAUUUCCGGUUUUCCCAAAGCAACCGUCCAAGCUGCCUUGGGUCCGGUUGCUUUAGAUUUGGCUCGUUCAGCCAAAGUCGCAAGUGAUUUAACAUUGGCUAACAACGUGCUCAUAAUUUCGGUUCUGGCCAUUAUUUUCACAGCGCCGUUGGGUGCUAUUUUGAUGCUUCGUCUUGCGCCGCUCUGGCUUAAACAUGGAGAUCCUGAGGACGUAGCUGAAACGCCUGUGACACCCGGUUCAUCAGAACCAGGCCCACUGACCAAUGUGGGUGAACUUAAUUCAGCGCACGGUCAACAAAAUAUUAAGUAGAGUAGCGAGAGCGCCGAAAAUUUAUCAACUAUACCAUUCGUGGAAAUAAUUGGCCUGGGUAUAUGGCUAAUGAUCAAGGGCACUUAACGGCAGCUGCUUACGAUUCACAUGCGAAUGCUCAUCCAGACAGGUGAACAAAGGCUAAGCAAGAAUUUCGUUAAGGAUUUUAUGAAAACGGGCCAAGAGAGAUCGAUGUGUUUAUUCAUGCGCACGGACGGAUAGAAGGACUACGUUAUUGAUCCUGAGUGUAAUAUAUAUUUAUUCUCCCGCAUAUCCUUUUCAUGAUACAAUUCUCCCACAAAUACAGUAUUGUUUGCUUGUAAAUAUGAUAUACAAUAAAAAUGUCUAUACAAUUAAGGAUACAAAAGUGGUUAAAUUAAGGCUUAGAGUACAAAUUAUGUCUUCCAGUAAUUUAUAAUAGCAAGAGUUUUGUUUUAGAUGGAUAGAUUUAAAGUACAAAUCAUAGUAGGAGUAAUGAUAGUAUUAGCGUACAUCGUACAUUUAUCGUACAAUUAAAAAAUCACUUGAUCUUAGACUAUGCAGCAAAAGCAGGAAAUAAACCCAAAUCAGGUAUUAACGAAAAGUUUUUUCAGAAACCUCAAACACAAAUUAAAACUGAAGUUCAUUGUCAUUGUUAUAGCCAAAAUAAAGAAAUACUAAGCUUUUAACUGUCUCUCGCUAAAAACAUUGAAGGCCAAAUAGUUGAUUUUCUCAUUGUGGAAGGCUAAAUAAUAUGGAUUUUAUGUUUUAAUUUCUACGCAUAUAAAGCAAAUCAAUAAAGUGUUUGUGAAUAACAAUGGCCUAAACCAUUACCCAAUCUUUUUGAGCAUUACACACGCGUCCUCACAAAUACAUAAUUCGCUUUUUAAUCUUUGCGUGUCUGGAUGUACUUUUAUUAAUGUACGUACAUAGUAUAAAUUUGUGGGUCGUAAAUAUUUUGCCAUAUGCACAUGUCGAUAUCUUUGAUUAGCUAAUGGAAAUAACUUUUUAGUAUGUGAUUUUUUUCUGUGAGUGUAUAUAUACAUCAAAAUAUUUGUUUCAUAUGCAAACGCGUAUUGGCAUUUAUGUUUGUAUAAUUGUAAAAAAGAAAUUUAGCUACACUC
rnacentral:misc_RNA from 1 species